GUUGUGUUUUCUGACUUGUUAUAAUGUUUUCUGAAUUGUUGUUGUGCUUUCUGAAUUGUUAUUUUGUUUUUUAGACUUGCAUUUGCGUUUGUAAUUUGUUAUUUUGUUUUCAGAAUUGUGAUUUGCUUUGCACUUCUCGACCACCGUAAAAAACCGCAUGAAACACAUUUACCGAAUAAAUUCCUCCAUGCGCAUCGACGAAGUCAUGAACACAUGCGGCAUAUUCAGCGCUUAGAACUGAAGAGAGGAGCAACUCCAGGAGGUUUUGCGUGUUUGGUCAGGAUGGGCUGCUCAUCUUCCAGCACACAGACGCUCGCGCAGGAGAACCCACCGCGCGUCAAAGCGGAGGAGGCGAGCGGAGAAACUCUGCUCUCUCGUAAUGGGCUUGUAGCAGAAGACAGCGAGACCGUCUCGGAUCAGAUGCAGCUGCCAGUUCAAAGCACUCUGCCGGAUGAGCUGGGUCCCGGACCGGACGAGACGGUGGAGGCCUCAGAAGCAGAGCAGACAGCGGUCAGCGCUAGUGAUGCUCCUCUAGAGGAGAGAGAUGCAGCUGAUGUUCCCACUGCUUCAGAACCCACUGACUCCACGCCUGCAGAACCCUCUCUAGCUGUGGAACCUGCGUCAGAUCUCACCAGCACUCCAGAACCCAAGCCAGCUGAGCUAACAGAAGCUCUAGAGGCCCCAUCAGACACGAGCUCGGAGCCCACACUGGAGCAAGCAGACACAGCUCCUGAAGCGAAGCCAACCGCAGCUCAAGAACCAGGUCCAGUGGAGCGAAGCCCUGCUCCAGAACUCACUGUGUCUGAGCCUGUCCCGAGUGCAGAACCAGCUCCUGCUGAGGAACCGACUGUGUCUCCAGAACCAGCUGCAGUGGAACCGAGCCCAGCUCCAGAAUCAGUUCUGGCUCCAGAACCCUCGGCUGAGGAACCGAGUGUGUCUCCAGAACCAGCUGCAGUGGAACCGAGCCCAGCUCCAGAAUCAGUUCUGGCUCCAGAACCCUCGGCUGAGGAACCGAGUGUGUCUCCAGAACCAGCUGCAGUGGAACCGAGCCCAGCUCCAGAAUCAGCUCCGGCUCCAGAACCCUCGGCUGAGGAACCGAGUUCAGCUCCAGAACCCUCGGCUGAGGAACCGGGUUCAGCUCCAGAACCAGCUGCAGUGGAACCGAGCCCAGCUCCAGAAUCAGCUCUGGCUCCAGAAACCUCGGCUGAGGAACCGAGUUCAGCUCCAGAACCCUCGGCUGAGGAACUGACUGUGUCUCCAGAACCAGCUGCAGUGGAACCGAGCCCAGCUCCAGAAUCAGCUCCGGCUCCAGAGCCCACGGUUGAGGAACCAAGCCCAGCUCCAGAACCCUCGGCGGAGGCAGCAGCGAUCACACAGUCUGCAGAGGAGAACGCGACCUGCGCAGACGCUCCAGAGGUCGGUGAAGAUGGAGCUGAUCUGCUGAAAUCCACAGAACCUGAAGAUUGAUGUCAGUGUGACGCUGUGAGACGUGCCUUUUAUCUCAGAGACGUGAGGGUUUGUACAUAAAUUAGUGUAUCUAAGUAGCGUUAGCAUCAUUAGAAUUGUUGUUAAAAGCCACAGAAAUGCCUCUGAGAGCGCGGGUCCCGUGGGUGUCCGGCCGAGCGUGGGACGAAAUCACAGCAUCAUGUCCUAAUCUCCAACUGAGUCAAACACAACAGCAAUAUUAACUCACCUGAACAAACAUGAGCCAAAGCUCUAAUAACUGUGAAUCAACCAAAUUAUGCUUAAUAAUGUGUCUUUUAAUGAGACCGAAGGGCUUCGUCUCUUAUGUAUUUAGUGCAUGUUGCUCCUCAGACUGCAGAUGCAAAGCAGUUUGACUCUUUACUUGCAUUAAUCAAUGACAGACAGGCAAACGGUAGUAUAUUAAUCAGUAGUGUAUGUUGUUGGGUUAUUUUAGUAUAGUUUGUGGUGAUUCCAGAGCACUAAUAAACCUCAUCUGAUGAUCUGUGACACUGGAAGGAAAGCAGUUACUCAGCAAAUCAUAUCAGUGUGAAGACAUGAAAGUUGAGCUCUUUGUAAAAAACCAACCAAGCUUUUAAUGAACUGACAUGAUCUCUGCACAUCUCCUGUAUGUCUUUUUUACAUUUAUAUGUGCACAGAAUAAAUACAGUUACC
ensembl:lncRNA